rnacentral:rRNA from 1 species
AGUGAACGCUGGCGGUAGGCCUAACACAUGCAAGUCGAACGGCAGCACAGUAAGAGCUUGCUCUUACGGGUGGCGAGUGGCGGACGGGUGAGGAAUACAUCGGAAUCUACUUUUUCGUGGGGGAUAACGUAGGGAAACUUACGCUAAUACCGCAUACGACCUACGGGUGAAAGCAGGGGAUCUUCGGACCUUGCGCGUUUGAAUGAGCCGAUGUCGGAUUAGCUAGUUGGCGGGGUAAAGGCCCACCAAGGCGACGAUCCGUAGCUGGUCUGAGAGGAUGAUCAGCCACACUGGAACUGAGACACGGUCCAGACUCCUACGGGAGGCAGCAGUGGGGAGUAUUGGACAAUGGGCGCAAGCCUGAUCCAGCCAUACCGCGUGGGUGAAGAAGGCCUUCGGGUUGUAAAGCCCUUUUGUUGGGAAAGAAAAGCAGCAGAUUAAUACCCCGCUGUUCUGACGGUACCCAAAGAAUAAGCACCGGCUAACUUCGUG